GGAUUAGAUACCCUGGUAGUCCAUGCCGUAAACGGUGGGCGCUAGGUGUAGGGGGCUUCCACGUCUUCUGUGCCGUAGCUAACGCAUUAAGCGCCCCGCCUGGGGAGUACGGCCGCAAGGCUAAAACUCAAAGGAAUUGACGGGGGCCCGCACAAGCGGCGGAGCAUGUGGAUUAAUUCGAUGCAACGCGAAGAACCUUACCUGGGCUUGACAUACACUAGAUUGCUGCAGAGAUGUAGUGUCCCUUGUGGUUGGUGUACAGGUGGUGCAUGGUUGUCGUCAGCUCGUGUCG
rnacentral:rRNA from 1 species